rnacentral:rRNA from 1 species
UACGUAGGGGGCAAGCGUUGUCCGGAUUUAUUGGGCGUAAAGAGCGUGUAGGCGGCCUGAAAGGUCAGCUGUGAAAACUCGAGGCUCAACCUCGAGACGUCGGUUGAAACCAUCUGGCUAGAGUCCGGAAGAGGAGUGUGGAAUUCCCGGUGUAGCGGUGAAAUGCGCAGAUAUCGGGAGGAACACCAGUGGCGAAGGCGACUACCUGGCCUGUUCUUGACGCUGAGGCGCGAAAGCUAGGGGAGCAAACGGG